rnacentral:rRNA from 1 species
UAGAGGAAGUAAAAGUCGUAACAAGGUCUCCGUUGGUGAACCAGCGGAGGGAUCAUUACCGAGUUUACAACUCCCAAACCCCUGUGAACAUACCAAUUGUUGCCUCGGCGGAUCAGCCCGCUCCCGGUAAAACGGGACGGCCCGCCAGAGGACCCCUAAACUCUGUUUCUAUAUGUAACUUCUGAGUAAAACCAUAAAUAAAUCAAAACUUUCAACAACGGAUCUCUUGGUUCUGGCAUCGAUGAAGAACGCAGCAAAAUGCGAUAAGUAAUGUGAAUUGCAGAAUUCAGUGAAUCAUCGAAUCUUUGAACGCACAUUGCGCCCGCCAGUAUUCUGGCGGGCAUGCCUGUUCGAGCGUCAUUUCAACCCUCAAGCCCCCGGGUUUGGUGUUGGGGAUCGGCGAGCCCUUGCGGCAAGCCGGCCCCGAAAUCUAGUGGCGGUCUCGCUGCAGCUUCCAUUGCGUAGUAGUAAAACCCUCGCAACUGGUACGCGGCGCGGCCAAGCCGUUAAACCCCCAACUUCUGAAUGUUGACCUCGGAUCAGGUAGGAAUACCCGCUGAACUUAAGCAUAUCAA